rnacentral:lncRNA from 1 species
UGGUUCCCUAAAAGCUUCACUGCAUUGCAGGGUGCAGUAAAGACAUACCUUCAGUGCAUGCUUUCCGAAGCACUGCUCUUUCAAAGACAGUGGAUAUUCUUUACUGACUAUUCUUGCUUCAUGCUGGUGGUUUACAUCAAAAGUGAUUUCUCACUUCUUCAUUUUUCAGCUGCAGAAUGGAUUGGUAUUGAAAUUGACUGAGAAAUAAACUUAAAGAAUGCACAGCUCAUGGUGAUAGCAAAAAUUGGACGUGAAGCUGACAGAGCAGGAUCAGGAGGCUUUGGUUCGCACCGCCGCUGCAGGCAACCACCGCAUCCUGACGUGGACCAGGGAGACAUCCCUGAAUGCCGCCUUUGUUUCGUGCCAGGGAGUUUCUUUGGAUGAAGCCGAUCAAAGGUGAAAUCCUAGACAUGGUGUGCAAGCCUGCCUGGCUGAUGGGACGGAGGCUUAACCCAGUGCCCUGGUGAACCACUUGCAGGCAAUACAUAUGGGGACUGCAUAAGUCUGAGAACCUGGUGCUGCUGGUGGGAAACAGGUGAGUUCCUAGCUGAUCUCCCUCUUUCAAAGCAAAAUACAAACACACACACACAUAUAUGCACAUAUUUUUAUACAUUUGUAGCCAAUUUAAUUAAAUGAAAUUCCUUACAAGCUGGGACUGAACAAGACAAGAUUGAAUCAAUAACUGCUUUUUUUUUCUUUCUGUUUUUUUUUUUUUUUUCAAUUCCUGUGUUCAAACAUAAGUCCCUAAGAAAGAAGGGCUGGAUAUUCCAACACAGGAAAGUGUUGGCUUUUCAAACUGAUUGUUUACAAAAGGUUUUAGUUAAAUCACCUCAUUGAUUAACAAAGACUAGGGCUAUGCCUCUGUGAACCACUGUUACUAC